rnacentral:rRNA from 1 species
UACAGAGGGGGCGAGCGUUGUUCGGAAUUACUGGGCGUAAAGGGCGCGUAGGCGGCCCGCUAAGUCGAACGUGAAAUCCCCAGGCUCAACCUGGGAACUGCGUCCGAUACUGGCAGGCUUGAAUCCGGGAGAGGGAUGUGGAAUUCCAGGUGUAGCGGUGAAAUGCGUAGAUAUCUGGAGGAACACCGGUGGCGAAGGCGGCUUCCUGGCCUGUUCUUGACGCUGAGGCGCGAAAGCUAGGGGAGCAAACGGG